rnacentral:rRNA from 1 species
UGGGGAAUAUUGGACAAUGGGCGCAAGCCUGAUCCAGCCAUGCCGCGUGGAUGAUGAAGGCCCUAGGGUUGUAAAGUCCUUUCGACGGGGAAGAUAAUGACGGUACCCGUAGAAGAAGCCCCGGCUAACUUCGUGCCAGCAGCCGCGGUAAUACGAAGGGGGCUAGCGUUGCUCGGAAUCACUGGGCGUAAAGCGCACGUAGGCGGACUCUUAAGUCGGUGGUGAAAUCCUGGAGCUCAACUCCAGAACUGCCUUCGAUACUGAGAGUCUCGAGUCCGAGAGAGGUGAGUGGAACUGCGAGUGUAGAGGUGAAAUUCGUAGAUAUUCGCAAGAACACCAGUGGCGAAGGCGGCUCACUGGCUCGGUACUGACGCUGAGGUGCGAAAGCGUGGGGAGCAAACAGGAUUAGAUACCCCUGUAGUCCCUGAGCGGGCUGGCAAGGCGCAU